AGAGUUUGAUCCUGGCUCAGGAUGAACGCUAGCUACAGGCUUAACACAUGCAAGUCGAGGGGCAGCAUGGUCUUAGCUUGCUAAGGCUGAUGGCGACCGGCGCACGGGUGAGUAACACGUAUCCAACCUGCCGUCUACUCUUGGCCAGCCUUCUGAAAGGAAGAUUAAUCCAGGAUGGCAUCAUGAGUUCACAUGUCCGCAUGAUUAAAGGUAUUUUCCGGUAGACGAUGGGGAUGCGUUCCAUUAGAUAGUAGGCGGGGUAACGGCCCACCUAGUCAACGAUGGAUAGGGGUUCUGAGAGGAAGGUCCCCCACAUUGGAACUGAGACACGGUCCAAACUCCUACGGGAGGCAGCAGUGAGGAAUAUUGGUCAAUGGGCGAUGGCCUGAACCAGCCAAGUAGCGUGAAGGAUGACUGCCCUAUGGGUUGUAAACUUCUUUUAUAAAGGAAUAAAGUCGGGUAUGCAUACCCGUUUGCAUGUACUUUAUGAAUAAGGAUCGGCUAACUCCGUGCCAGCAGCCGCGGUAAUACGGAGGAUCCGAGCGUUAUCCGGAUUUAUUGGGUUUAAAGGGAGCGUAGAUGGAUGUUUAAGUCAGUUGUGAAAGUUUGCGGCUCAACCGUAAAAUUGCAGUUGAUACUGGAUGUCUUGAGUGCAGUUGAGGCAGGCGGAAUUCCUAGUGUAGCGGUGAAAUGCGUAGAUAUUAGGAGGAACACCAGUGGCGAAGGCGGCUUACUGGACGGUAACUGACGUUGAGGCUCGAAAGCGUGGGGAGCAAACAGGAUUAGAUACCCUGGUAGUCCACGCCGUAAACGAUGA
rnacentral:rRNA from 1 species